ACUGGGGGUGCCCGAAAGGGAACCGGAACACAGGUGCUGCAUGGCUGUCGUCAGCUCGUGUCGUGAGAUGUUGGGUUAAGUCCCGCAACGAGCGCAACCCUUGUCCCUAGUUGCUACGCAAGGGCACUCUAGGGAGACUGCCGGUGACAAACCGGAGGAAGGUGGGGAUGACGUCAAGUCCUCAUGGCCCUUAUGGGUAGGGCUUCACACGUCAUACAAUGGCCGGUACAGAGGGUUGCCAAGCCGCGAGGCGGAGCCAAUCCCCGUAAAAGCCGGUCGUAGUCCGGAUUGCAGUCUGCAACUCGACUGCAUGAAGUCGGAAUCGCUAGUAAUCGCGGAUCAGCAUGUCGCGGUGAAUACGUUCCCGGGCCUUGUACACACCGCCCGUCACAUCACGAAAGUGGGUUGUACUAGAAGUCGUCGUGCCAACCGCAAGGGGGCAGAUGCCCAAGGUAUGACUCAUGAUUGGGGUGAAGUCGUAACAAGGUAACCGUAA
rnacentral:rRNA from 1 species